rnacentral:rRNA from 1 species
CAUGUCUUUUUGAUAUUGAUUUAAAGUCUAAUCUGCUCUAUGAGAAUUAAAUGGCCGCAGUAUUUUGACUGUGCGAAGGUAGCAUAAUAAUUAGUUUCUUAAUUAGAAACUGGAAUGAAUGAUUGGACAAGAAAAUUACUGUCUCUUUUCUAUAAUUUAUUGAAUUUUAUUUUUGAGUGAAAAAGCUUAAAUUUUUAUAAAAGACGAGAAGACCCUAUAGAGUUUUAUAAAUAAAGAAUUUAUAGUUUUAGUAAAAUUAAAUAGUAUAUUUAUUUGGUUGGGGUGAUUGAAAGAUUAGAUUAAUUCUUUUAAGUGAAAAAUUAUAUAUUUAUAAAUUUAUAAUCUUUAUAUUAAAAGUUUAAGAUAAAUUACCUUAGGGAUAACAGCGUAAUUUUUCUUAUAAGUUCGUAUUUAAAGGAAAGUUUGCGACCUCGAUGUUGGAUUAAAAUAAAUUUUUGGUGCAAUAACUGAAAAAUUAGGUCUGUUCGACCUUUAAAAUUUUACAUGAUCUGAGUUUAGACCGGCGUGAGCCAGGUUAGAUUCUAUCUUUAUAUAUAUUACUAUACUUUAGUACGAAAGGACCAAGUUUGGAUUAUAAUUAAUUG